CGCCUGUUUAUCAAAAACAUCGCCUCUUGUUCAAUUAUAGGAGGUCCAGCCUGCCCAGUGACUUUGUUCAACGGCCGCGGUAUCCUAACCGUGCGAAGGUAGCGUAAUCACUUGUUCUUUAAAUGAGGACUAGUAUGAAUGGCCCCACGAGAGCUGCACUGUCUCCUUUUUCUAAUCAAUGAAACUAAUCUCCCCGUGAAGAAGCGGGAAUUAUCCUAUAAGACGAGAAGACCCUAUGGAGCUUUAAACAAUUGAAACAUUUGCUUUUCUCCUAACUCCUCCCGAGCUCUUUAUUUUUAUUUAAGCAUUAUUAUUUCUAGUUUUAGGUUGGGGUGACCACGGAGCAAAACUAAACCUCCAUGAAGAAAUGAAUAUUUUUAAGCCACAAACUACUUUUUUAAGCAUCAACAAAUUGACCUUCAUUGACCCAAUAUAUUGAUCAACGAACCAAGUUACCCUAGGGAUAACAGCGCAAUCUACUUCAAGAGCUCAUAUCGACAAGUAGGUUUACGACCUCGAUGUUGGAUCAGGGUAUCCUAGUGGUGCAGCCGCUACUAAUGGUUCGUUUGUUCAACGAUUAAAACCCU
rnacentral:rRNA from 1 species